UACGUAGGGUGCUAGCGUUGUUCGGAAUCAUUGGGCGUAAAGCGCGUGUAGGCGGCUAAUUAAGUCGAGUGUGAAAUCCCCAGGCUCAACCUGGGAAGUGCAUUCGAAACUCAUUAGCUGGAAGACGGUAGAGGAAGGUAGAAUUCCUAGUGUAGAGGUGAAAUUCGUAGAUAUUAGGAGGAACACCGGUGGCGAAGGCGGCCUUCUGGACCGUUCUUGACGCUGAGACGCGAAAGCGUGGGGAG
rnacentral:rRNA from 1 species